rnacentral:rRNA from 1 species
UACGAAGGGGGCUAGCGUUGUUCGGAAUUACUGGGCGUAAAGCGCACGUAGGCGGAUAUUUAAGUCAGGGGUGAAAUCCCGGGGCUCAACCCCGGAACUGCCUUUGAUACUGGGUAUCUCGAGUCCGAGAGAGGUGAGUGGAAUUCCGAGUGUAGAGGUGAAAUUCGUAGAUAUUCGGAAGAACACCGAGUGGCGAAGGCGGCUAGCUCGUCGGAUGACGGUACUGACGC